rnacentral:misc_RNA from 1 species
GAUGAAGAACGUAGCGAAAUGCGAUAAGUAAUGUGAAUUGCAGAAUUCAGUGAAUCAUCGAAUCUUUGAACGCACCUUGCGACCUUUGGCCAUUCCGAAGGGCAUGCCUGUUUGAGUAUCAUGAACACCUCAACUCUUCAUGGUUUUCCGUGAUGAGCUUGGACUUUGGGGGUCUUGCUGGCCUAUGGUCAGCUCCUCUAAAAUAAAUCAGCUUGCCAGUGUUUGGUGGGUAUCACAGGUGUGAUAACUAUCUACGCUUGUGGUUUUCCACCAGGUAACCUUCAGCAGUGGAGGUUCGCUGGAGCUCACAGAUGUGUCUCUCCUCAGUGAGGACAGCUCUUUGAAUGUUUGAUCUCAAAUCAGGUAGGACUACCCGCUGAACUUAAGCAUAUCAAUAAGCGGAGGA